AAGAAUGUAGUUUUUAUGAAACAUUUAAUUUGCACUUAAAAAAUAUUGAUAAUUUUCAAUCUUUCUUA
rnacentral:tRNA from 1 species